GCCACAGAGACAGUUACACAUGAAGGGAGGUAAUGUGGAGACACGGGAGAACACUACCAACAAGACAAGGAAUGCCUGAGGCUGCUGGAAGCAGGAGAAAAUAAAGGAACAGAUUCUCCCUCCCAGCCUGUAGACCCCCCAGCAAGAUUCCAAGAUCCAAGAAGUCCAUUUGUGUUUACAGCGAUCACAAACAAGGCUGUCAAGAGGAUGCGAUGUCUCGGAACUCUGGUUAAACAGAAGACUGGGCAGUUAGCUAUGGCUGCAUAAAUGGUGCCUCUUCAGAAGUCCGCAGAAGGAUAGCCAUUCUACUAGGAAAGAUGAUGAGGUCAUUUCACCCGAUUCUAUCACUCAGGACACGUUGUUGGGAGGGUUGACCAUCCAGGUCAUGGAAAGAAGGGUCCUGAUGGGUUGGUAUUCUGGAAGCAACAUUUUGGAAGGCCAAGGACAUGUCAGCUCUUAGGACUGCACGGAAGAGAGUCAGUCCUUGUUAUCACCAUUGGAUCCCAGCGGCUCUUUCAUCUCAGAUUUGUGAAAGCAGCUUCUCCUCCUGAGUUCUGCCCCAGUCUCUUAAUGGGCCAAGGAAGGGAGACAUUGAUGGAACUCACAGAUGUGGUUAGACCUCCCCAGCAGCAGUCUGGUCAGAGGUCAGCUGGUCUCUUUCCAGUAACAGGUGGCCCUUGGCCUCUAUUUCUCAAGAGAGCUUGAAUCAAGAGGCAUUCAGGGUAAAAUGUGGUCACGUUGCUUUUUAUGUUCUGUAAAGCCUAUUUUCUAUAAGCUAUUUGACAGCUGACUUUUUGAUAGAAGCUUGCAGGAGUAGGUAUCAGAGGUCUCAGAAGCAAAGUCUCUGCUCCUUCAGUCAUGUGAGCUGCCCUUGUUUCAAAUUUCAGAAGGUCACAAAAUAUACCACACACACACUUUGUCUCAUACACGCUAACAUACAUGAGGAAGUGUGUAAGCAAUCAGAAAAGGAAGCACAGAGAAUUUAUUAUAAUUAUGAAUAAAAUAAAUGAAAUCUUCUUUA